rnacentral:rRNA from 1 species
GUGGGGAAUAUUGCACAAUGGGCGCAAGCCUGAUGCAGCGACGCCGCGUGAGGGAUGGAGGCCUUCGGGUUGUAAACCUCUUUUGUUAGGGAGCAAGGCAUUUUGUGUUGAGUGUACCUUUCGAAUAAGCACCGGCUAACUACGUGCCAGCAGCCGCGGUAAUACGUAGGGUGCAAGCGUUAUCCGGAAUUAUUGGGCGUAAAGGGCUCGUAGGCGGUUCGUCGCGUCCGGUGUGAAAGUCCAUCGCUUAACGGUGGAUCCGCGCCGGGUACGGGCGGGCUUGAGUGCGGUAGGGGAGACUGGAAUUCCCGGUGUAACGGUGGAAUGUGUAGAUAUCGGGAAGAACACCAAUGGCGAAGGCAGGUCUCUGGGCCGUUACUGACGCUGAGGAGCGAAAGCGUGGGGAGCGAACAGGAUUAGAAACCCCAGUAGUCC